AACACAUGCAAGUCGAGCGCCCGUAGCAAUACCGCAGCGGCAGACGGGAGAGUAACACGUGGGAACGUGCCCUUCGGUUCGGAAUAACUCGGGGAAACUCGAGCUAAUACCGAAUAAGCCCUUACGGGGAAAGAUUUAUCGCCGAUGGAGCGGCCCGCGUCUGAUUAGCUAGUUGGUGAGGUAACGGCUCACCAAGGCUACGAUCAGUAGCUGGUCUGAGAGGAUGAUCAGCCUCACUGGGACUGAGACACGGCCCAGACUCCUACGGGAGGCAGCAGUGGGGAAUAUUGGACAAUGGGCGCAAGCCUGAUCCAGCCAUGCCGCGUGAGUGAUGAAGGUCUUAGGGUUGUAAAGCUCUUUUAGCGGGGAAGAUAA
rnacentral:rRNA from 1 species